rnacentral:rRNA from 1 species
ACAGAGGGUGCGAGCGUUGUCCGGAAUCACUGGGCGUAAAGGGCGCGUAGGCGGUCGGGUAAGCGUGUGGUGAAAGUCCGGGGCUCAACCCCGGAUCGGCCAUGCGAACUGUCCGACUGGAGCACGGUAGAGGCACAUGGAAUUCCGGGUGUAGCGGUGGAAUGCGUAGAGAUCCGGAAGAACACCGGUGGCGAAGGCGGUGUGCUGGGCCGUAGCUGACGCUGAGGCGCGACAGCGUGGGGAGCAAACAGGAUUAGAUACCCUGGUAGUCCACGCCGUAAACGAUGGGCACUAGGUCCUUGGGGGAGCGACCCCGUGAGGGCCGGCGCUAACGCAUUAAGUGCCCCGCCUGGGGAGUACGGCCGCAAGGCUG